rnacentral:rRNA from 1 species
UACGUAGGUGGCAAGCGUUGUCCGGAUUUACUGGGCGUAAAGAGCGCGCAGGCGGUCGGAUCAGUCGAAUGUGAAAGCCCCCGGCUCAACUGGGGAGGGUCAUUCGAUACUGUCCGACUCGAAGGCAGGAGAGGGAAGCGGAAUUCCCGGUGUAGUGGUGAAAUGCGUAGAGAUCAGGAAGAACACCGGUGGCGAAAGCGCUCUGCUGGACCUUAACUGACACUGAGGGACGAAAGCUAGGGGAGCGAAUGGG